UACGUAGGGUGCAAGCGUUGUCCGGAAUUAUUGGGCGUAAAGAGCUCGUAGGCGGUCUGUCGCGUCUGCUGUGAAAACUCGGGGCUUAACCCCAAGCCUGCGGUCGAUACGGGCAGGCUCGAGUUCGGUAGGGGAGACUGGAAUUCCUGGUGUAGCGGUGAAAUGCGCAGAUAUCAGGAGGAACACCGAUGGCGAAGGCAGGUCUCUGGGCCGAUACUGACGCUGAGGAGCGAAAGCGUGGGGAGCGAACAGG
rnacentral:rRNA from 1 species